UCAGCGGUGGCGUAAUGGUAGACGUUAUGGAUCUACCAAUCAGUCGCCGUGCGUUGCGCGGGUUCGAAUCCCGUCCCAAGAG